CUCAAAUAAUUGCUCUCUUCCCCUCCCUCAUCGUCUCCAUUUCUUCCUCGAUCUGAAAUGAUCUAUGGAUACAGGAUCCACUAUCACCUUAGAGAUGCUUGUGACACCGCCUACACCAAUGGCUCGAGGGUGAGCCGAUCUACAAAACCCAUAUGGUCGGGUCACUUCUUGGAAGGUUCCUUACCUCCAUUCAUCCCACGCGCCACCACUAUCAGGAUCCUAUUGUCUUGAUGUCUUUCUCCAUGCCUUCACAACGUUCUCUGUUUUAUGCUAAUUUCUGUGUGGUGAAUUUACAAGCAUAUAUAAUCCAGUAAAAUUACCAAGGAACCGCAGUUUGAAGCCACUGCCUCAAAAGUUUUAUGUCUCAUAGUUGAAGAGAUUUGCCUUCUAUUGUUGUUCAUGUGACCGGUGCCUUAGUUUACAAUUCAACUCUCACUGAAAGAGUGUUCAUUCUGGUGGAAGGCUGUAGAAUGUGUACGAAAUGCUUCUGAUGGUACCUUGAUGCAUUCUUUGACGGGUCACAAUGAAUCUGUACCAAUUCACUUCUCAUUUGUUUUGAAGGGUUGCACUUGCAGGCGGACUUAAAAAGCUGGACUUCAAAAGUUGGACAGAGCUAAAGACCAAAGAGGAUCACCACAAAGCGGAAAGUGCUAGUACUCUGACUUAUGAUUUAAUUUCAGAUGUUUAGUAUACUCGGGACCAUUAAAUGUAUCUGAUUGUCUAAUUUUUUAUUAUCAGUAGUGUGUAUUACCAUGUAUAUAUUGUGGAUGUCAUCGGAAAAAAAUGUAUAUAUUGUGGAUACAAGACUGAUGACCAGGAAGAAAAAAAGGGGAAAAAAAAGUAAAAAAAAAGCUCCAGUUUGGUGCCAAUUAAAAAUGGCACCAAUUUUUUUUAAAAAAAAUUUGG